UAACUGAAGAGUUUGAUCAUGGCUCAGAUUGAACGCUGGCGGCAGGCUUAACACAUGCAAGUCGAGCGGAGAGAGGUAGCUUGCUACUGAUCUUAGCGGCGGACGGGUGAGUAAUGCUUA
rnacentral:rRNA from 1 species